rnacentral:rRNA from 1 species
GUUGUAUGGUUAAGUGACUAAGCGUACACGGUGGAUGCCUUGGCAGUCAGAGGCGAUGAAAGACGUAGUAACUUGCGAUAAGCCCAGAUUAGGUAGUAACAACCAUUUGAGUCUGGGAUUUCUGAAUGGGGAAACCCACUUACAUAAGUAAGUAUCAUUAACUGAAUACAUAGGUUAAUGAGGC